CCCCUAGAUGUUCUGGGCCGCACGCGCGCUACACUGAACAGUUCAACAAGUCUUAACCUUGGCCGAUAGGUCUGGGUAAUCUUUGAACGCUGUUCGUGAUUGGGAUAGACCUUUGCAAUUAUGGGUCUUCAACGAGGAAUUCCUAGUAAACGCAAGUCAUCAGCUUGCAUUGAUUACGUCCCUGCCCUUUGUACACACCGCCCGUCGCACCUACCGAUUGAAUGGUCCGGUGAAUCUUUAGGACUGUGGCUGAGGCCUUGCCUUGUGCGGGUCUGGCCGUGGGAAUUUAGUUAAACCUUACCAUUUAGAGGAAGGUGAANUCGUANCA
rnacentral:rRNA from 1 species